rnacentral:misc_RNA from 1 species
AGGUGAACCUGCGGAAGGAUCAUUACCAAUAUAGCGAACCGAGCGUUAGCGAGGCUUCGCGAUCAAUUGUAUUUAAAACCCAACUCUUUAAAUGUAUAUUAUUAUUGUAUUUUAAAUAAUAAAGAUCACUUUCAACAACGGAUCUCUUGGCUCUCG